rnacentral:rRNA from 1 species
UACAGAGGUCCCAAGCGUUGUUCGGAUUCACUGGGCGUAAAGGGUGCGUAGGCGGCCGGGUAAGUCUGAUGUGAAAUCCCGCAGCUUAACUGCGGAACUGCAUCGGAUACUCUCCGGCUAGAGGAAUGGAGGGGGAGACUGGAAUUCUCGGUGUAGCAGUGAAAUGCGUAGAUAUCGAGAGGAACACCAGUGGCGAAGGCGAGUCUCUGGACAUUUCCUAACGCUGAGGCACGAAAGCCAGGGGAGCAAACGGG